rnacentral:misc_RNA from 1 species
AAUAUAACUCAAAAACUAAAAACGAUUUUCAAAAACGGGUUUCACCAUCGAAAAGAUGACACUUUCUUUUAUAAAUCUUCCAAGUUUUAGAAUGAUUUGGUAAGAAAUCGAUUUUUUUAAAUAAAUGUUGUCCCUAAAUGUAUGGUUAAGUUUAAAACUUUAUAAUAUCUUAGAAAUCUGUAUGAAAUAAUGUCAAAAUCCUUGACACAAAAAAAAAACGAUCACAACCGUCAAAAAGUGUUGCUAAAGAUCUCAAUUUUAAAUUUACAAUGAAGAGAACUUCUCGUUUAAAAAGACCGACAUCUUCAAAUCAAGCAGUUGAUGCCGAUGGAAGUCUUGUAUCAUUUCAAAGUUUUGAUAAAAAAUCUGACGAUGAACGCUUGGCAUUUAUUGAUAGUAUCAGAUACAGUUGGGCAUCAAAAUUGGAUUUUAUUUGGUCCGCAUUAACGUGUAUUUUUUCCGUGGAUGCUUUCGACAUUCUCAUCCAACUGAAUCCUCUCGAUCCCGGAGUGUAUCAUUUUAUUAUAGCAGUUUGUUUCUUUGCACUUCCAGUUUAUUAUAUGCAACUGUUAUUGGGACAGUACACCCAACUUGGGGUUAUAUCCCUUAAAUAUUUGAGCCCGAUUGCGCACGGCGUUGCAAUCGUUUUCAUUAUGAAUUUAUUUCUCAGGACGAUAAGGCAAAGUAUUCUUUUAGAUGAUGCGAUAGUGUAUUUCAUCACUAGCAUGCAAAGUGAGUUGCAAUGGUUGAUGUGCCCACCAAAAAAUGAUAGGGAGGGAUGCCAAAAAGUGCCUUGUUACGAUGGAGUUGUUAAUUGUUCUAAUUUGCUUUGUGGUAAUGGAACUAAGUUGCAUUUAUCAGCCGAAAUUUUUUAUUACUCCCAUUAUAAAAGUAAUAUGGCAAGAGAUAUUAGUACUGUUACGGUGGUAAUGCCUGAGUUUCAAAAAAUUGCUAUUCACGGUAUUUGUUGGUUUUGUACUUGCGUUAUAUUAAUUUGUACAAUUAACCAUUACAUCAAGGUGAUCAAAAUUCUUCGUGUAACCACAAUGAUAUUGCUUUUAGUGUUAAUACUGGCGGUGACCGUUCCAAAUUUAGGUGAAACUAUAUCUGAUCUUUUCGCGAUCAAACCAGAAUCUUUAACGAAUAUCGAUGCGUGGUUAACAGCAAUUCCUGCAUCGUUUGAAGUUUUAGCGGUGGGAAGAGCUUUCCAUGUCAUUCACGGUUCUUAUUUAAAACCUAGCGAGUCUUGGACAAUGUAUGCAAUCAUCGUAGUGAUUUUACAUUUUGGAUCUUUAGUGGCUUGUUGUCUUUUUACAACAAGUUGCAUACAAAAUGUAUCUAAAUAUGCACAAAUUGAUGAUGAACAUCGACAUCUUUUUUUUAAUCAUGGAAGUCAAGUACUUUUUGUUGCAAUACCUCAAGCGAUUGGGUCAAUGGGAAUCCCUCAAAUGUGGAGUUGCUUAUUUUUUGCCAUUAUUAUCAUGAUUAAUAUUAGCCAACAAUUAGCCCAUUUAACUUUUAUACAAAUGUCGUUGAAUGAUAUUUAUCCGGGAAUGGUGAGGUAUAAGAAAUAUGGGGUGAUUCUUUUUAGUAUGAGCAGUGGACUUUUAAGUUGCCUACUUUUAGCACCUGAGUCUUACGCAGUUUUUGUUGUAACUGUUAGAUAUUUACCUCACGAUUCCACCGCGAUGAGUGUAAUUUUAAUGACAUUUUUUGUGUGUUGGGUUUACGGCGUGCAAAGAUUUUGCGAUGAUAUCCACUUUAUAACCGGGCAACCACCAGCUAUGAUAUGGAGAAUUUGUUGGUACAUCUUACCAUUUACUUUAAUCAUCACAUUCGUUCAAUUUAAACUUCGCAGAUACACCUACGACAGUGUUAGUCUCUUGCAAAUCGUUUUAUUAGGAAUAUUCACCUGCCCGGUACCAAUAGUUGCGAUCGUUGAAACGUUUAAAUUCAUCAAAGCGAGAAAUUUAAUUGGGUUAUUUCAACCCCAUGAAAGAUUCGGCCCACCUGAUUACAAAGAACGAGAACUAAGACGAUUAUUUAAUCCAAGAACAGAAACUAGAUGUAGAAGAAGAAAUCAACUCUGCAAACACCGCUGUUUACUCGGCAGCAAACCCUUAUCAAUGAUAAAAGAAAACGAUAUUGAAUCUUCAAUUGGCGAUUCUCACUUUGAGGAUGAAAUUAUAUUUGAGGAAUUAAAAUAGUUUUGAGAAAAUUAAACAAUAUGUUCUUGGUGAUGUCUCAAGAGAGAAUUGAGAUGUCAUAAUAAUGGCCAUGAAAUUAACUGGGACCGUAUAAAACAAAAAUCAAAC